AACGAACGCUGGCGGCAUGCCUAACACAUGCAAGUCGAACGAGACCUUCGGGUCUAGUGGCGCACGGGUGCGUAACGCGUGGGAACCUGCCCUUAGGUUCGGAAUACCUCCCCGAAAGGGGUGCUAAUACCGGAUAAUGUCUUCGGACCAAAGAUUUAUCGCCUUUGGAUGGGCCCGCGUUGGAUUAGCUAGUUGGUAGGGUAAAAGCCUACCAAGGCGACGAUCCAUAGCUGGUCGGAGAGGAUGAUCAGCCACACUGGGACUGAGACACGGCCCAGACUCCUACGGGAGGCAGAAGUGGGGAAUAUUGGACAAUGGGCGAAAGCCUGAUCCAGCAAUGCCGCGUGAGUGAUGAAGGCCUUAGGGUUGUAAAGCUCUUUUACCCGGGAUGAUAAUGACAGUACCGGGAGAAUAAGCUCCGGCUAACUCCGUG
rnacentral:rRNA from 1 species